CUUAGAGGUUAAGCCCGAUGAACCUGAAUAUCCAUUAUGAAAAAUUCAUCACUAGUAUUGUAAUAUUUAUCAUGUUAUAAAAAUAGUGUGCAAUUUUUUCAUAUAAGGACAUUGUAAUCUGUUAAUGUAUUAAAUAUUUAUCAUAAGAUCUAUUACUUAAGUUUAUUUAAAUUAGUUAUUUUCGGAUUUCUAACAUAGAAUAAAUGUUAUAGAUUUGAUAAAUCAUUGACAGAUUUAAUUAUAAUAUAGUGCUUAAAUUUUUUUUAUUAAAAAUUUUACAAUAAUAAAUUGAUCUAUUGAUUUAUUUAUUUAUAUUGUAUGUACUUAUAUGAUUAACAAU
rnacentral:rRNA from 1 species